ACUCUUUCUAAAGUCAAACACAUCAACCUAGUGCCGUUAGAGUUCCAAAUGAUGUAAAGGAAACUUGUUAUUACACCAUUAAAGGACCACAUGCAAAAUCAAUGUAUAUAUACGCAAUUCGUUGCGUCCCAACAAGGAAAUAUGUCUCAUAACCACCUCAAGUUUUUGCUAGGUCUCAAAAUGCAACAAACAAAAAACAUGAUGGAAAUGCAAUGUUAAAUGCUCAGAAUCCAUGUGAUGUGAAACUGCCAACUCUCACAAGGGCCUUUAAAGGAAGAAAUACUUAAUAUAGGGGGUCUUUUAUGAAUUUGGAGGUUGAAUUCCAAAUUCUAUGGCCAACAUAGAAACUUUGGAUUAGGAUAAAAGGGCUUUAUUUUAUUAAUUAAGACAAAUUAUCAAUGUUAAAUUGUAAGCCUCAUUCAAGCGUAGUGAGAAUUUAAAGUCAAAUCAUAAGAAUAGAAACCUAAUAAGGUGAAAUUGGUUUGCCUGUCAAAGGCUAACUUAUGUAGACAGGCUUACAAAUUUAUUUCAUUUUACUUAUCUGGAGUGACGGAGAGUAACGAGGAAGAGUUAGAUUGCUCUUCUGCUGCAUAUUUUUUUUUUUAAUUUAGAAUGUUUAAUUAUAUUCCUUUUAAAGGCAUAAAUUAUAAUUACACUCCUCUAAAAACUUACAAUGAUUGGGUGGUUAACAAUUUUACGUGAUUGAAUUAAUGUUGGGCAGAGUAUGUCUAAUUCUCCUCAGGAACAGGUACAUAUAGAGUAGCUUCUUUUUUAGCAAAAUUAUAUCUUUCACUUAAAUAUUUAGUUUGGCUGAUACGUAUCUCGUAUCUCCUAUAAAAGUUUCUAUUGCUUUGUCUUUGUAUUUUAUCUAAAACUUCCUUGAGAUCACUAACAAGACAUUGCUAUUGGCUUUACAGCUGUUGGAGUUGGAUUUACUUCUGCUUUGAUAUCCUUUUAAGUUGAUACUAAUUCAUCUACGUGUAGCAUGCUUAAGCAAUUUACUUUUACUCUGAGAAUGUUAGUGAACCCUUAACCCCCAGAAACUUUUUAAGUAUGCUGGUUUAGUUAUUGACAAGUGAGUACUGGACUUAUUUUUUCUGCUCAUCUUGCAGUUUGCAUCUAAUCUGUUGUGAACUACCCUAAUCAAAGUAUUGGUUUGACAUGCUCUCUGCAGUCUUCAGAACUUGGAGUGCUGCCUUUUUGUCGUGUUCCCAUAUUUCUCGUAAGUCAUUACCAGCCUUAUUAGUCUUGUCAUGUGCAAUUGAUUUCAGUUGUCCCUUAUCCUGAGCACGUGUCUUAAUGUGUACAAUCUUCUUUUUCUUUUCAGGUACAUGCUAGCUGAAGGCCUUGGCCUCUCUGGUAUUGUAUCGAUAUUGUUCACUGGAAUCGUAAGCAAUAAAUGAUUAUACAUUUUUUUUCCAUUGUUGUUGCCCAUCCUUUGUUGUUGCAUUGUAAUUGAGUUGGUUAUGUGUUGUUUUAGGUAAUGAAGCACUACACAUUCUCCAAUUUGUCAGACAAUUCUCAGCGAUUUGUAUCUGUUUUUUUUCCAUCUGAUAUCAUCACUAGCAGAAACAUUUGUGUAAGGGAGCAUUUCAUUAUUUACAUUAAGCAGUGUUAAAUUUUUAUUCACUUCUUCUGGCCCACCCCUCUUUAAGGAUUUUGUUUCCAUUACCAUCUGUCCACCACAUUGAUAUGCAAGUAUAAGAAAUGCAGGACAAAGCCAAGCCAAUUCUAAAACUAAGAUUUGUGCAAUCAAUUUUGGGCUCACCUGCAAUGGUACUAGGUCCGGCCUCGCUGGUGCUCGGUCUGUCCUCGUCGAUGCUCAAUUGCCAGUGAAUGUCGUAGGACAAGGCCAUUUCGUCAUCUACAUCUAGCUCUGGCGCCUCCAUAAAGGUACUUGACUGCAUCAAUUCAAAAUGCGCAUCCGAUUCAUAGCACCCGAGGCGAUUCGUUUGAGACUAAGGAGGGCCACAGAUAAGGUUACCCACGAAAGCCCCCCCCCCCCCCCCCAUAAACUACUUCAAGCAUAGUGCAUGUCCGCAGGGUUGAAUCAACCAAAACCGGUCACCGACACAGAAAGUGUAACGACAGUCCCAACAUUUAGUAUAAGUCUCUUCCUCCAACUCAUCUAAAAUGGACAAUCUAGGGAUCAUCCUAUGUUCAAAUAGAACUCUAUCCCUACAGUUAGGCAGGAUACGUCGGGACUGGAAAUCAGCCACCUCUCCAAGCACGGAGCGUGGAAUCCGUGUCCGCAUUCGAGGGACAUUGAGACGAAAUGUCCGUAGAGCAUUAGCUGUUGACAUAUGGAACAACCCUCCCCGCGUAAUGCAAGAGAUUGGUCGAUCGUCUCACUCACCUCUCUGGUAUUGUAUCGAUAUUGUUCACUGGAAUCGUAAGCAAUAAAUGAUUAUACAUUUUUUUUCCAUUGUUGUUGCCCAUCCUUUGUUGUUGCAUUGUAAUUGAGUUGGUUAUGUGUUGUUUUAGGUAAUGAAGCACUACA
rnacentral:lncRNA from 1 species